rnacentral:rRNA from 1 species
UACGUAGGGGGCAAGCGUUGUCCGGAAUUAUUGGGCGUAAAGAGCGUGUAGGCGGUCCGGUAAGUCAGCUGUGAAAGUCAAGGGCUCAACCCUUGAAUGCCGGUUGAUACUGUCGGGCUAGAGUCCGGAAGAGGAGAGUGGAAUUCCUGGUGUAACGGUGAAAUGCGCAGAUAUCAGGAAGAACACCAAUGGCGAAGGCAGCUCUCUGGGACGGUACUGACGCUGAGACGCGAAAGCGUGGGGAGCGAACAGG